GCGGCGGCCAGCCGGGCCGCGGCGGCCGGGUCCUUGUCGGCCCAGGAACGCGGCGGGGGCGGGCCCGCCGGGGUCGCACCCGGCUGCGGCA
rnacentral:tRNA from 2 species